AGGGUUCGAUUCUGGCUCAGGAUGAACGCUGGCGGCGUGCUUAACACAUGCAAGUCGAACGGAGUUUUUAAACGGAAGUCCUCGGAUGGAAGUUUAGAAACUUAGUGGCGGACGGGUGAGUAACGCGUGGGUAACCUGCCUCAUACAGGGGGAUAACAGUCGGAAACGAUUGCUAAAACCGCAUAACAUAGCGAAACCGCAUGAUUUUUGCUAUCAAAUAUUUAUAGGUAUGAGAUGGGCCCGCGUCUGAUUAGCUAGUUGGUGGGGUAAUGGCCUACCAAGGCGACGAUCAGUAGCCGGCUUGAGAGAGUGACCGGCCACAUUGGGACUGAGACACGGCCCAAACUCCUACGGGAGGCAGCAGUGGGGAAUAUUGGACAAUGGGGGAAACCCUGAUCCAGCGAACCGCCGCGUGAGUGAAGAAGUAUUUCGGUAUGUAAAGCUCUAUCAGCAGGGAAGAUAAUGACAGUACCUGACUAAGAAGCCCCGGCUAACUACGUGCCAGCAGCCGC
rnacentral:rRNA from 1 species